CGUCAACAUGGUUGCUAAACUAAUCGUCACGCAACCGCUUCUCAAAGUCAGGGUAAUUCGAGAAACCUGCCUAUUUUCCUCGAAAAAUGCACCGGGCGGAGAUUUCCCAUCUCCUCAAAAGUAUCUCUGUCUUAGGUCUCGACGCUCUGUGAUCGAAAAGCCUGUUUAAUCGAGUAAGCACAAUCGACCGCAUAACCAGGUCUAGAUAGCAGGCAGGAUUAUCUCAUUAAAUAGUUUGAUGAAAAUA